ACGAACGCUGGCGGCGUGGAUAAGACAUGCAAGUCGAACGGGAGAAUUGCUAGCUUGCUAAUAAUUCUCUAGUGGCGCACGGGUGAGUAACACGUGAGUAACCUGCCUCUUAGUGGGGGAUAGCCCUGGGAAACCGGGAUUAAUACCGCAUACGAUUGAAAGAUCAAAGCAGCAAUGCGCUAGGAGAUGGGCUCGCGGCCUAUUAGUUAGUUGGUGAGGUAACGGCUCACCAAGGCGAUGACGGGUAGCCGGUCUGAGAGGAUGUCCGGCCACACUGGAACUGAGACACGGUCCAGACACCUACGGGUGGCAGCAGUCGAGAAUCAUUCACAAUGGGGGCAACCCUGAUGGUGCGACGCCGCGUGGGGGAAUGAAGGUCUUCGGAUUGUAAACCCCUGUCAUGUGGGAGCAAAUUAAAAAGAUAGUACCACAAGAGGAAGAGACGGCUAACUCUGUGCCAGCAGCCGCGGUAAUACAGAGGUCUCAAGCGUUGUUCGGAAUCACUGGGCGUAAAGCGUGCGUAGGCUGUUUCGUAAGUCGUGUGUGAAAGGCAGGGGCUCAACCCCUGGAUUGCACAUGAUACUGCGAGACUAGAGUAAUGGAGGGGGAACCGGAAUUCUCGGUGUAGCAGUGAAAUGCGUAGAUAUCGAGAGGAACACUCGUGGCGAAGGCGGGUUCCUGGACAUUAACUGACGCUGAGGCACGAAGGCCAGGGGAGCGAAAGGGAUUAGAUACCCCUGUAGUCCUGGCAGUAAACGGUGCACGCUUGGUGUGCGGGGAAUCGACCCCCUGCGUGCCGGAGCUAACGCGUUAAGCGUGCCGCCUGGGGAGUACGGUCGCAAGAUUAAAACUCAAAGAAAUUGACGGGGACCCGCACAAGCGGUGGAGUAUGUGGCUUAAUUCGAUGCAACGCGAAGAACCUUACCUGGGCUUGACAUGUAAUGAACUACAUGUGAAAGCAUGCGACUCUUCGGAGGCGUUACACAGGUGCUGCAUGGCCGUCGUCAGCUCGUGUCGUGAGAUGUUUGGUUAAGUCCAGCAACGAGCGCAACCCCUGUUGCCAGUUACCAGCACGUCAAGGUGGGGACUCUGGCGAGACUGCCCAGAUCAACUGGGAGGAAGGUGGGGACGACGUCAGGUCAGUAUGGCCCUUAUGCCCAGGGCUGCACACGUACUACAAUGCCCAGUACAGAGGGGGCCGAAGCCGCGAGGCGGAGGAAAUCCUGAAAACUGGGCCCAGUUCGGACUGUAGGCUGCAACCCGCCUACACGAAGCCGGAAUCGCUAGUAAUGGCGCAUCAGCUACGGCGCCGUGAAUACGUUCCCGGGUCUUGUACACACCGCCCGUCACAUCAUGGAAGCCGGUCGCACCCGAAGUAUCUGAAGCCAACCGCAAGGAGGCAGGGUCCUAAGGUGAGACUGGUAACUGGGAUG
rnacentral:rRNA from 1 species